GCCGACCUCGAAUGCGGUCCUCCUGCUGCAGACCACGCCCACCAAGGGCUGGCCGCAGCCACUGUAGCUGAGCUCAGAGCCUUCUGUGUGGUUUGCGGGGGCAAGGUCAGCUGCCCCCUGCCCUCUCUCUGGGGCUAUUUGAGGAAUGCGGCCUUUUUGCAUAAGAAAGGCUUUUCUCUACAGUAACUGUGGUCGCUGAUCAAUGACACCUUCCUGAUGUAAGUGGGAUCUGUGGAUCUGAAAAUUCACAGUGGCCAGCUCACCACCACCUGAUGAAAGAUACACCACAGGGUGAGAGCAUCCUAACAGCAAACUGCAAAUGAGAUACUUUGACGAAGGUAAUUGGGACUCCCAUCAAGUCUCCACACAGCUAGCAGCCACGUGGGGCACUUCUCCAGCAUAUGUAAGUGGAACUCAGAAGGCAACAUUCCCUGAACAUACUCUUCCACCAGAAUCUCCUCUACAGAUUUUUGCUGCCCCUUUUACCAGUGGCUGAAUCUACUUUCUCUUAUGGAUCGCUUACACCUGAGACGAACUACAGAACAGCACGUACCAGAGGUGGAAGUCCAAGUCAAACGCAGAAGGACUGCCUCACUGAGCAACCAAGAGUGUCAGUUGUACCCGAGGCGUUCUCAGCAGCAGCAAGUACCUGUGGUGGAUUUCCAGGCUGAACUGAGGCAGGCAUUCUUAGCUGAGACACCAAGAGGUGGUUAAAGCCAUAUUGGAGUAGCGAGGAAUCUGAUUCCAAGCAAAAACCAGGCUCCAUCUACUCUUUGAAGCUUCUGCCCAGCUUGCAUUGUUUCUAGGAGAACCUGCGUCAUACCUUUAUCUAUAGCCUUCCCCUAGGUCUUCAGAAGCAUCAAGUUUUAACUGUGGACAUUGGAUUUGGUGGAACAGCAAUCAUGACUGUUGGCAAGAGUAGCAAGAUGCUGCAGCACAUUGACUAUAGAAUGAGAUGUAUCCUGCAAGAUGGCCGAAUCUUCAUUGGCACCUUUAAGGCUUUUGACAAGCAUAUGAAUUUGAUCCUCUGUGAUUGUGAUGAGUUCAGAAAGAUCAAGCCAAAGAAUGCGAAGCAACCAGAGCGUGAAGAAAAGCGGGUUUUGGGUCUGGUGUUGCUGCGUGGGGAGAACUUGGUAUCCAUGACUGUGGAGGGGCCACCCCCCAAAGAUACUGGCAUUGCUCGGGUACCACUUGCUGGAGCUGCUGGAGGCCCUGGGGUUGGUAGGGCAGCUGGUAGAGGAGUACCAGCUGGUGUGCCAAUUCCCCAGGCCCCUGCUGGAUUGGCAGGCCCUGUCCGAGGAGUUGGGGGACCAUCCCAGCAGGUAAUGACUCCACAGGGAAGAGGCACUGUAGCAGCUGCUGCUGUUGCUGCGACUGCCAGUAUUGCUGGAGCCCCAACACAGUACCCACCAGGACGGGGCACUCCGCCCCCACCCGUCGGCAGAGCAACCCCACCUCCAGGCAUUAUGGCUCCUCCACCUGGUAUGAGACCACCCAUGGGCCCACCAAUUGGGCUUCCCCCUGCUCGAGGGACGCCAAUAGGCAUGCCGCCUCCGGGAAUGAGACCCCCUCCACCAGGCAUUAGAGGUCCACCUCCCCCAGGAAUGCGUCCACCAAGACCUUAGCAUACUGUUGAUCCAUCUCAGUCACUUUUUCCCCUGCAAUGCGUCUUGUGAAAUUGUGUAGAGUGUUUGUGAGCUUUUUGUUCCCUCAUUCUGCAUUAAUAAUAGCUAAUAAUAAAUGCAUAGAGCAAUUAAACUGUGAGGUACUGUUGUAUAUAUUUUUUUGCCUGUUGAUUUUGAUGAGAUCUUAAGUUACUGUGGAUGAGGGUGAUGCCUAUUAAGCAGUUGAUUCAAAUCAUAUUCUCUUUAAUUCUUAGGAUAAAAAGGUUUUCUGCUAUCUAACUUUCACUUUGUGCAUUGACUGGUGUUGGUUAAUAAUGUUUUCAUGACCCGGGGGUUUAAGUGGUUGUGCUGCUUCACACAUGGCCUCCUGCUUCUCAUGUUGCUAUGUCACAUUAUCUGAAGGGAAGUGGGGAUGGGAUGAAAGGCCUUGUAAGGCCACCUAUAUACUGAAGGAAGUUGUAGUGAAUCACAGUCCAUGCUCAUUACAUAUCAAGGCAUUUGAAAUAGAAGUUACUCUUUUUCUUGGGAUGUUGACCUCAGUUGAUCAGGUUUUACAGUGUCCUAUGAUCAGAAUAGAGGAUGUGAUACUGGAAUAAUCAUUUUCUACCAUUGAGUAAGUAUUUAUUUAUAAAUUACUAAAUGAGUGGAAGAUCCUGGGUACUGGGAGGCAGGAGGUUGCAUAUUUGAGUUGAUAAGUUGUACUACUGAUAAUAAAGAUAACUGACACACUAAAACAUACUUGGUACACUGAAAUACAAAUUACGGUUAUGUCCAGUGGUAUCACCAAGUGACAAACUGGGAGCUAAAUAGUUCAGAAAUGCCCUAGUCUCUAGGUCCAGUUUGAAUUGGUUAUGGAACAAAGAAGCCAUUUAUAAAAGGGAAGAGAUUUUUAGGUUUUGCAGCUAAGGUUUAUAGUAGGCAGCGAGGGAAUGAUUCAUAGUGAUUGUAGCAGUUGGUUUACCAAGCACUAAAGAGAUUGGUGUUAACUCCAUAAUACUGAUAGACUGAUUGGAAUUACAUUUUUUCUCUUGAAUUUACCAGGAGUGGUUGUGAAUGUCACCUUUUCCAUCUUUUAAAUUACAUCCUUGCAGGUGGUAAUCACUCAAGGAAAAGGAAUUAUCAGAGUAACAAUAGUUCCUGUUACUGACUUGAUAUGGUCUCUGCCAGAAUAGCUUCUCAGAUUAAUGGCCACUCUCAGGGGAAGCAUUUCUCCUUGCAUUGGUUUGCUGGUAUGGAUGGCCCUUAGAUUUUGGCAUGAGUGAUUAUGCAGCCUAUUUGAAGAAAACCUGUUUUCAGGACCUUUUUAAUUAAAUAUGGCCUGUUACAUGAGUUAAAGUGUCAUACGAUACCAUUUUUUGACCACUUAGUUGAUGCCUCUGAAAGGAAGAGAGAAUCAGAUCGCUAAAAUUUGAUGUGUCGUCAGUGUGGAUCCUACUCAGUAGUGUCACAACGAGGCUGAAAAUCAUAUUAAGUGCUUUUAGGACAGAAACGUAAACUGCUCAGGUAAAAUAACCUUAUAAAGAGAAAUAAGCAUAUAUUGCAGAGGCCUUGGCUAGGUUCAUGAUGACACAGGACCUUGUCUGAACAUAAUGAUUUCAAAAUUUGAGCUUAAAAAUGACACUCUGAAAUCCAGUCAGUGUGCCUCACUAGACUUUUCGAUUUCAAGAUUUUCUGCAGAAAAUGUUUUGAAAACUUUGAAUACUUAAAAAUGGCAGGUGUAGUAUUGCACUUUGCUAGUUGCUCAGAUACCCUUUUUUAUUUGUAUAGAUAUUCUGAGUUCCUUUUUUUUUCUACAUGUUGUACGUUGUCGAAAGCUAAAAGGAAACUUAUCCUUGGAUCACGGAAGGCAGAGGCAUUUGGUGAGAUGGAAACAAGGAUGUGUAAAAAUGAGACGACCACCUCUCGGAUUAAAAAAAAAAAGUGCCAGAGUUCUAGGGUUCUAAGUGAUGUCCAGGAAGGAGGAGGAAUAAUAUUUAUGGAGCAUAUAUUAUGGAACACACCAUUAUGAAUGGUUUUUGAUUGAUCUCACAAAGAGCAUGUGCUUUAGACAUUAAUGCAGCGACUACCAUGAAACAGAGUAUUGGAUUACCUAAGGAAAGAAGCAGAGGAUGGAAUUUGAGGCAAUCAGGAUGAGUGAAAAAUUGAUUUGCAGCUGACCUGCAAAUGGAAUCAUCAGGAACAUCCCUUUCUCAUGGAGUCCCUUAAUUUACAAGUUAACUGCAAACAUAGGAGAUGAUAGUUCCAAGAAGGAACAUUUUAUCGUCUUUGUUUUUAAUCUCAAGAAUGGUACCUACCAUCAGUGAAUGACCUGUUGCAGUGCUUUCAUUGAAGUGUUCUUCGUUCCCUCAGCAAUAUGAUUGUGAUGACUGAAAAAGGGAAACUGUGCCACUAUUUGUACCAUCAUUUUCACCAAAAUCUAAAAAUGCUUUUUAUGACGUAUGGAGACAUUCUUCAUGUUUGUUUCAGUGGACACUCCUUGCAGAUGUAAAAAACUGAGAAAACUCACUUUUGGAAAGUGACCUAAAGAGUGUCAUUGAAGUGAAUUUUAAGUAGGCACGAUGAUUGUUUUCAUGGUUGCUGUUGGAUCAUAUCUCAGGAGCUGGAAUGACAGACAUUAUUGAACAAAGAAAUCAGGAUAGUGGAACUUAAAGGGCUUCAUCUCAGUGCUUUCAUAAGUAUGAAGUGCAUAUAUUUAUAAUUUUCACUAAUCACAGGAAUAUUCCCUCUGUAUACUUGCAUUUUUUUCUAUCAAUUGACGCUUACAAUUAUUUUUGCAAGUUGGAAAAAAAUGCAGUAUUAAUUUCAUUUGCAACAAAUUUAAUAGAUUAAUUAGGAGAGAAUAGAUAUCUUUAAAAUUGAGUCUUCUGUCCAACUGCAAGUUAUAGCUGAGGUGGUACCAGUUUAAGAAGUGAGAACUUCUUCACUGACUGAAAUUUGCAUAUCAAUCCAAAUCAUUGUGCUUAUUUACUAUUUUUGUAGACGUCAUUCUUCAAAAGUGCUGCAUCUUCAAUAGUCAAGGAGGACAAAGACAUCUUUCCUGCAGGUGGUGACCAUGUGGAUAAUAGGAUCAUAGACAAAUGGUGGUUCCAUCUACAGCAUCACCGAAAUGCUGUUGUUACUGCUUCUUUCUGGGAUCUUCUUGCAUCUUUGCUUCUAAAGGGGCACACCUUUUAUAGAAGUACGUCCAGGAAUAGAAGUGACCUGCUUUUUCGCAAUUGUCAUGGGAGGCCAGCCGCCUGCUGGCAAGGAAGAUGGUUGAUUCUUCUGAUCAAUGGAGGCCCUGCAGAGUCCUGUAGUCACUGUGGCCUGGCAUCCAUGGUGCACCCAAUGCUGGUGGAUGGCUUAGGACGAGGCAGUUGCUGUGGGAGGUGUGGUAACUGCUGGAAGGAAGAUGCUCAAUUCUUCUGAGCAACGAAGGCCACACGGAGUCCUGGAUUCUGUGUGGCCUGGCAUCCAUGGCGCACUGUGUGCUGGCAGGUGGCUCAGGACGGGGCAGUUAUCAUGGGACACCCGCCAUAUGCUGGCAAGGAAGAUGGUCAGUUCUUCUGAGCCACAAAGGCCCCCAACAUCCUGGAGUUGGUGUUGCCUAGCAUCCACGGUGCGCCCCCUGCUGGUGGAUGGCUCAGGAUGGGGCAGUUGCCGUGGGAGGCCCGCUGCCUGCUGGAAGGAAGAUGGUCAGUUCUUCUGAACCACAAAGGCCCUGCAGAGUCCUGGAGUCUGUGUGGCCUGGCUUCCAGGGUUCACCUCAUGCUGGUGGAUUGCUCAGGAUGGGUGCCGAAGGUCUUUAAGGUCGUCAGCUCACCUACUGCCCAGCCUGUGGUGUCAAAUGUCCUGCCUCUUCAAAUGUGUUUGGAUCGAUGAUGAGUCCCCCCAAAAAAACAUUCCUUGGAAAAGCUGAACAAAAUGAGUGAAAACUCAUACCGUCGUUCUCAGCGGAACUGAGGUCCAGCGCGUUGCCUCCAGCAGGGACUGUUGGAGUGAGGGAGAGCUUCCACUAGUCCCUAUAGGUUCCACCACCCAGGGCAUCCGCAGGUGCACCUCACCUAAGAGGGUGGCCAGAGACAGUGUCUUGUCAUGACAUCAGAAGCCCCAUGAGGAAGAGGAGGAGCCUGUGCUCCUGCCAGAGGUGGUGGCUGUUAGGGACAGUUGCCGUGGGAGGUCCGCUGCCUGCUGUCAAGGAAGAUGGUCGAUGCUUCUGAGAAACAGGCCCUGCGGGUUCCUGGAUUUGGUGUGGCCUGGCAUCCACGGUGCACCCCGUGCUGGCGGGUGGCCCAGGACGGGGCAGUUGCCUUGAGAGGCCCACCGCCUGCUGGCAUGACAGAUGGUCAGUUCUUCCGAGCAGUGGAAUCUCCAUGGAGUCGUGGAGUCGGUGUGGCCUCGCAUCCACAGUGCACCCUGUGCUGGUGGAUGGCUCAGGACAGGGCAGUUGCCGUGGGAGGCCUGCCGUCUGCUGAAAGGAAGAUGGUUGAUGCUUCUGAGCAAUGAAGGCCCCAUGGAGUCCUGGAUUCGGUGUGGCCUUGCAUCCGUGGUGCACCCCGUGCUGGUGGAUGGCUCAGGACGGGGCAGUUGCCAUGGGAGGCGCAGGCCUGCUGGAAGGAAGAUGGUCGAUUCUCCCAAGCAACAAAGGCCACGUAGAGUCCUGGUUUCAGUGUGGCCUGGUAUCCACAGUGCACCCCGUGCUGGUGGGUGGCUCAGGACGCACACUCAUUUCCUCUGCACCUUCCUGGUGUCAUUGGCAUGGAAGGAAGGCCCUUGUCCAAGAAGGAUGGUCUUCGUCUUGUGUGAUCUUUGAGAUGCCAUGAGGCCCCUGGAUACAAAUGGUGUGGGCUCCUUUGGAGGCUUUUGGAUUUCUCCUGAAUGUGGCGUUGGUAUGGAAGGAAGGCCAGUGACCGCAAGGGAUGACUUUGAUCUUGGGAGAUUUUUGGAGAUGGCAAAGUGCUUCUAAACAUGUUUGGCAUGGUCUCCUUCAGGCUGGUGGAUACCUCAGGAUGGUGGCGUUGGCAUGGAAGGAAGGACUGUGUCUGUGAGGGAUGAUCAUCCUCUCAUGUGAUCCUUGGAGAUGCCAGGAAGCCCCUUGACACAUGUGGCAUGGGCUCCUUCAGAGGCUUUUGGAUCCGUCGUGAAUGUGGCAUGGGCAUGCAAAGAAAGACAGAGGCUGCAAGGGAUAAACUUCAUCUUGGGAGAUCCCUGGAGAUGGCAGGGAACCCAUGGACACAUGUGGCAUGGGCUCCUUUGGGUGCCGGUGGAUCCCUUCAUACGGUAGUGUUGGUGUAAAAGGCAAACCCGUGUCAUGAGGGAUGGUCAUCAUCUUGUGUGAUCCUUGGAGAUGGCAGGAAGCCCUGGACAUACAUGGUGUGGGGGCUCCUCCAGAGGCUGUUGGGAUCCUCCUGGAUGUGGUGUGGGCAUGGAAGGAAGGCCAGUGGAGACAAUGGAUGAUCUUGUUCUUAGCAGAUCACUGGAUGUGGCAGGGAGUCCUAGGACAUGUGUGGUGUGGGCUUCUUCAGGUGCUGGUGGUGUUGGCAUGAGGAAAGGAGGUAUCUUCGAGGGACAAUCUUCUUCUUGUGCGAUCCUUGGAGAUGCCAUGAGGCCCCUGGACACAUGUGGUGUGGGCUCCUUUGGAGGCUGUUGUAUCCCUUCUGAAUGUGGCGUGGGCAUAGAAGGAAGGCCAGUGGCCACGAGGGACAAUCUUGGUCUUGGGAGAUCCUGGAAAUGAUAGGGAGUCCCUUGAUAUGUGUGGCAUGGGCUCCUUCAGGUGCUAGUGGAUUCCUUAGGAUGGGACAAACACUGUGCGUGGAUCGAUGAUGACUUCCAUAUAUACAUUCCUUGGAAAGCUGAACAAAAUGAGUGAAAACUCUAUACCGUCAUCCUCGUCGAACUGAGGUGGUGUUGGCAUGAAAGGCAGGCUUGUAUCAUGAGGAAUGAUUGUCAUCUUGUCUGAUUCUUGGAGAUGGCAGGAAGCCCCUGGAAACACAUGGUGUGGACUCUUUCACAGGCUGUUGAAACCCUCCUGAAUGUGAGGCCAGAGACAGGCAGACAGCAGAUGUAUUGCAGGGAGCUGGAUGACAUGGCCCUUGGAACCUGUGCACAUGCCUGCCUUUCUGAUGCACGUCCAUGUUUUCUCUGCACCUCCCCGGUGGUGUUGGUAUAAAAAGCAGGCUUACAUCAGCAAGGGAUGAUUGUCGUCUCAUGCGAUCCUGGGAGAUGGCAGAAGUCCCGGGACACAUGGAGUGUGGGCUCUUUCGGAGGCUGUUGGAUCCCUCCUGAAUGUGUUGUGGCCAUGGAAGUAAGGCCAGUGGCUACGAGGGACAGUCUUCAUCUUGGGAGAUCCCUAGAGAGGGCAGGGAGCCCCUUGACAUGUGGAAUGUGAUCUCUGUUGGGUGCUGGUGGAUCCCACAGGUGGUCUGGCAUGGAAGAAGGCCAGAGGCUGCGAUGGAUCAUCUUUGUCUUGGGAGAUUCCUGGAGAUGGUGGGGAGCCCCUGGGCACGUGCAGCAUAUGUGGCGUGGGCUUCUUCAGGUGCUGGUGGAUCCCUCAGGAUGCUUUUCAAGGUUUUUCUAUGAGUUCUGUUAAAGAGUCUGAAAAUGGAGCGUAGAAGACAUGCUUCGAUUUCCAGGAUGGUUGUGUUUUCCAGAGAGGCGGAGGUAAACCACUGGCGCAGCCCUGCCUCCCACAGAUAAUUCCGGGUGCAGUGUUUCAUAUCUAGACUUGGACUUCUAUCCUACCAUACUUCUUUGUGUGCAGUUCAUUGUGGAACCAGCACAGAUUUUCAUACGAAAGUUAUUUCUUUUUAACCUCAAAAAGUGACAGAAUGGAGUGUAUCAUGAAAAAGUCUGACAUCAAAACCUCAAAAUGUGAUAUUGAUUGGGUGAGAUAGAAUUCCAUGGAAUUUCAUUGCCAAACCAGUGAAGUGCUAAUUUUGACAUUUGUACCAGCUAACGUAGCUGUGAAGAAACACACCAAUACACUUCUAAGGACAGCAUAGACCAAGAUCUAGGUUUCAUAUGGAUGAAUUUAUUCUUCCCUUUGAGGCAAGACAAGAAGGAAAGAAAGUAUUGGGAAUAAUGCUGCCCUCCCAUCCUCAAGGGCCAGUGGGAACUCUAAUAUUGAUUGGUUUUCACAGAAUUCCAUGGACUUUAACUGCUGAACCAAUGAUGCACUGAUUUUGUCACUUGUACCAGCUAACGCAUCUGGGAGGCAACAAAACAAUACUCUCCUGAGGUUAAUGUGGACCAAAAACUAGAUUUCAUAUAAAAGAGUUUAUUCCUUCUACUUGAGGUGUGACAUGAAGGAAAGUAAUGGAAAUAAUUCUGCCCUCCCAUUCUCAAGGGCCAGGGGGAAUUCAAAUAUUGAACGGAAGUGAUUUUGGAAUUGCAUGGAAUUCUCACUGCCAUCCCAAAGAAAUGCUGAUCUUGUCACUCUUACCUGUUUCAUUCCCUGGGGGCAGAACAAAAGGACGCACUCCAAAGAUCGGCAUGAACCAAGAACUGGGUUUCAUAUAAAAUAUUUUAUUCUGUCCUCUUGAGAUGUGACAUGAGAAAAGUAUUGAGAAUACUUCUAUCACCUCAUCUUCAAGAAUCCGUAGGAAUUCUCCCAUGGUGGACUUUACGGUUAACCUGAACAGGUCUUGGAAAAAGGACUUUAAACAUUCUCCUGUUCUGUGGAAUAAGUAUACUUUUUUCUGGACAUACACCUUGUCAGUUCCAUGUGAUACUAGAGUUGCAUAGAUUUUUAACCUUUACGCCAAUGAAGAUCUGAGGCAAACAUUGCCCCUUUUUUAGAAGUUUGCAUUUGUCACUGAUAACUGUAAUAAUUGAUCUUGUUGAAAAGCCUGGGAAAUGAAGAUCUGAUAUGUCACUUUUACCGGCUUCCUCAACUGAAAAAGAAUACAAUGAAACACGCUGAGAAUUUUUGUGCUUUCUCAGUCUUGCUGAUGAUCUUUCUAUGGGCCUGAAGCGUGGAGAGUGCCAGAGAGGCUGAUCCUCAGCAGUGUGGCAGAGGAAAGUUGGGUGCGACUAAGGGGUAUGCGGUGCCCACAUGCCACUGGGUCCUCAGCAGUACCACCUGAUUGGAAGUGAUAUUGGUGGAAGACAACAUUUUGCCGCUUGGAAUUCUCACCUCCACACCAAAGAAGUACUGUUUUUGUCAUUUGCACCAGCUUCUUUCUCCAGGAAAGAUCAAAACGAUGCACUGCAAGUGUGAUUGGUCCAGAUAGCUGCCUUAUCCAACUGCCUCCUUUGGACCACUUCAUCAUGGGACAGCUUGAUGCAAUCUACUUGACAAGACCCUGGAACCCCACACCCCUCAUGGAACCAGUGUCCACCUCCCAGUCACAGUGUGACCCCAGGGAACUCUUGCCUGCUUGCUUUAAACCCACCACUUAAAAGUCUCCACAGAAAACCUGUUUGAAUAGUACCCUUGACCCAAUAAGGGCAUUGGCCCCUGGGUGUCUCUCUCUCUCUCUCUCUCUCUCUCUCCCUCUCUCUCCCUCUCUCUCUCUCGCUCCCUGACCUCUGCGUGUGGACUCCAGGCAUGCCAUAUACCCCUCAGGACCUGAAGCAAAAGAAUGAAUUAAAGAAAACUCCAGAGAAUGAGCUGACAACCUACUCCCUGGUCAGUGGCUCUCCAUGCCUACCUGUGGUCUCUUGGACACCCUUGCAGAAGAUGACUUCCUGGGAACUCUUCUGGGAGUGAAUGUUAUCAGCAAAUUCCCAAAACAACACCCCUUAGACAAAAAGCCUCCUCACCUAUGCAUUGCCUAGACCACCCACUAAAGAUGGUGACCAUGGAGGAAGACUUGUGUUGGGCCCAAUGGCCCUCGGCCAGUGUCCGUCUGCCAGGUGCCAGCCCCCGGUGCGCUGAAGCUCAGGCCAUUCCUGAUGCCCUGGCCUCCUGCACUGAGCUGUGUGAGCUCUUCUGCCCAGGCAGGCCCCCUGGCAUUGACCGGCAUAGACAGUGAGCCUGGAGGAAGACUUGCCCUGGUCCCACUGUCCCUGGGCCAGUGUCCAUCAGCCAGGUGCCCAGACCCCAGUGCGCUGAAGCUCAGCCCUCCCUGGCACUCUGGUCUCCUGCACUGAGCUGUGUGAGCUCUUCCGCCCAUGAGGGCCCCCUGGCCUUGAGCAGCAUAGAUGGUGACCCUGAAGGAGGACUUGUGUUGGGCCCAAUGGCCUGGGGCCAGUGUCUGUCAGCCAGGUGCCCAGCCCCUGGCGUGCUGAAGUUUGGGCCCUUCCUGGUGCCCUGUUCUAUCGGGGGAACCCGCCCCCAAUAAUUCAACGUCCCUCCGUUUGGGGUCCCUGACUUCCCUCAACACUGGUCUCUUCCACUGAGCCUUGUGAGCUCUUCCACCAAGGAGGGCCCCCUGGCAUUGACUGGCAUAGUGAGCUCUUCCCCCCAGCAGACCCCUGGGAUUGACGAGCAUAGAUGGUGACUGUGGAAGAAGACUUGCUUUGGGACCGCUGGCCCCAGGCCAGUGGUUGUCAUCCAGGUGCCCAGCCCUUGGUGCACUUGAGCUCAAGCCCUUCCUGGUGCCCUGGCCUCCUGCCCUAAGCUGUGCGAGCUCUUCUGCCCAGGGGGACCCCUGGCCUUAAGUGGGAUAGAUGGUGACCCCAGAGGAAGACGUGCAUUGGGUCCGCUGGCCCCAGGCCAGUGUCUCUCAGCCAUGUGCUCAACACCUGGUGAGCUGAAGCUCAGGCCCUUCCUGGCAUCCUGGUCUCCUGCACUGAGCUGUGGUCUGCAGCGGCAUCUGGCAUCCAGGCCAGCCUCCUUGGUGGGCCGUGAACUGAAUGGUGGCGCUGGCCUGUGCCCAGUAUAUCUGGGUUCGGUGGCUGAGAGAGCUUUUGUUGCCCUGUGUCCGUGACGGGCCAGUGUUCUGCAUGCAUCCCAUCACAUGGAUCCAUGGAGGAUGUUGAGCCCAGAGGAAGACUUGCACUGGGCCCAAUGGCCCCAGGUCAGCGUCCAUCAGCCAGGUGUCCAGCCCCUGGUGCACUGAAGAUCGGGCCCUUCCUGGUGCCCUGGUCUCCUGCAUUGAGCUGUGUGAGCUCUUCCACAUGGAAGACCCCUGUCAUUGACUGGCAUAGGGUUCAGUGGCGGAGAGAGCAUCAGGUGGCCCACGUCUGUGAUGGGCCAGUAUUCCACAUGGAUCUCAUCACAUGGGUCCAUGGAAGGCGAGCAUCCCUGAGCUGGCACACCCCACCUUCUGCCAGCAUGGAAGGAUGGUGAGCACAGAGGAAGAAUUGCGUUAGGCCCUUUGGCCCCGGACCAGUGUCUGCCAGCCACGUGCUCAGCCUCCCGUGCGCUAAAGCUCAGGUCCUUCCUGUCAUCCUGGUAUCCUGCACUGAGGUGUGUGAGCUCUUCCCCCCAGCAGGCCCCCUGGGAUUGACUGGCAAAGAUGGUGUCUGUGGAGGAAGACUUGCCAUUGGGUUGCUGGCCCCAGGCCAGUGGUUGUCAUCCAGGUGCCCAGCCUUGGUGCACUGAAGCUCAGGCCCUUCCUGGUGCUCUGGUCUCCUGCACUGAGCUGUGUGACCUCUUUUGCCCGGCAGACCCCCUGGCAUUGACCAGCAUAGAUAGUGAGACUGGAAGAAAACUUUCAUUGGGCCCGCUGUCCCGGGGUGAGUGGUCAUCAGUCAGGUGCCCAGCCCUUGGUGUGGUGAAGCUCAGGCUCUUCCUGGCGCCCUGGUCUCCUGCACGGAGCUGCGUGAGCUCUUCUACCCAGGCGGGCCCCUGCCCUUGAGCGGCAUAGAUGGUGACCCCAGAGGAAGACUUGCGUUGGGCCCACUGGCUCUGGGCUCAGCCCCUGGUGAGCUGAAGCUCAGGCCCUUCCUGGCACCCUGGUCUGCUGCACUGAGCUGCGUGAGCUCUUCCACCCAGGUGCAACCCCCUGGCAUUGACCAGCAUAGGUAUUGAGCCUGGAGGAAGACUUGAAUUGGUCCCAAUGGUCCCAGGCCAGCAUCCAUCAGCUAGGUGCUGAGCCCCUGGUGCACUGAAGAUUGGGCACUUCCUGGCACCCUGGUGUGCUGCACCGAGCUGUGAUGAGCACAUCCGGGUCCUGCUGGAUGCAUGCGCCGGGAAGGACGUGCCCUGAGUUGGGUCGAUGAUGAGAACCUUAUAUUAUCCUGAAGAGAGGUGAUGACUUAAAAAUCAUGCUCAAUAGGAUUACGCUGAGGCCCAGUCUAGUGAGCUCUUCCCCACAGGUGGGCCCCCUGGCAUUGACUAGCAUCGUGAGCUCUUCUGCCCAGCAGCCUCCCUGGCAGUGACCAGCAUAGAUGCUGACCCUGGAGGAAGAAUUGCACUGGGCCCACUGGCCCCGGGAAAAUGUCCCUCAGCCAGGUGCUUAGCCCCUGGUAAUCUGAAGCUCAGGCCCUUCCUGAUGCCCUGGUCUCCUGCACUGAGCUGUGUGAGCUCUUCAGCCCAGGUGGGCUCCCUGACACUGAUGCGCAUAGAUGGUGAGCCUGGAGGAAGACUUGCAUUGGGCCCAAUGGACCCAGGCCAGUGGCCAUCAGCCAGGUGCCCACCCUGGUGUGCUGAAGCGCGGGACCUACCUGUUGUCCUGGUUUCCUACACUGAGCUGAGUGAGCUCUUCAACCCAGGCGGGGCACCCUGGCAUUCACCAGCAUAGACUGUGAAAUGGGAGGAAGAAUUGUGUUGGGCCCAAUGGCCCUGGGCCAGUAUCCGUCAGCCUGGUGUCCAGCCCCUGGUGUGCUGAAGCUCAUGCCCUUCCUGGUGCCCUAGUUUCCUGCACUGAGCUUGUGAGCUCUUUUGCCCAGAAGACUCCCUGGCAUUGAUCGGCAUAGAUGGCAGCGCUGGAGGAGGACUUGUACUGGGGCCGCUGGCCCCACAUCAGUGUCCGUCAUCCCGGCGUCCAGCCCCUGGUGUGCUGAAGCUCAGGCCCUUCCUUGUGCCCUAGUCUCCUGCACUGAGCUUGUGAGCUCUUCUGCUCAGGCGGGUCCCCUGGCAUUGACCAGCAUAGAUGGUGGCCCUGGAGGAGGACUUGUAUUGGGGCCACUGGCCCCACGUCAGUGUUCGUCAGCCUGGCAUCCAGCCCCUGGUGUGCUGAAGCUCAGGCCCUUCCUGUUGCCCUAGUCUCCUGCACUGAGCUUGUGAGCUCUUCUGCCCAGGUGGUCCCCCUGGUCUUGAUGGGCAUAGGGUGAGGCCCUGUUUGGACCCAUCUUCCAGCUAUCUCACCAGAUGGUGAGCCCAGAGGAAGACCCCGUGGCUCUGGGCCAGUGUGCGUCAGCCAGGUCCCCAGCCCCCAGUGUGCUGAAGCUCAGGCCCUUCCCAACGCCCUGGUCUCCUGCACUGAGUGAGCUCUUCCGCCCAUUUGGGCCCUCUGACAUUGACCGGCAUAGAUGGUGAGCUCGGAGGAAGACUUGCAUUGGGCCCAAUGGAGCUGGGCCAGUUUCUGUCAGCCAGGUCCCCAGCUCCUGAUGCACUGAAGCUCAGGCCCUUCCUGGAGCCCUGGUCUCCUGCCCUGAGCUGUGAUGGUGAGCCUGAAGGAAGACUUGCAUCAGGACCAAUGGACCCUGGCAAGUGUCCGUCAGCCAGGUGCUCAGCCCCUGGUGCACUGAAGCUCAGGCCCUUCCUGGCCCCUUGAUCUCCUGCACUGAGCUGUGUGAGCUCUUCUGCCAAGGGGGGGCCUCCUGGCAUUGACCAACAUAGAUGGUGAGCCUGGAGGAAGAUUUGCAUUGGGCCCAAUGGCCCUGGGCCAGUGUCUGUCAGCCAGUUUCCCAGCCCCUGGUGCACUGAAGCUCAGGCCUUUCCUGGCAUCCUGGCCUCCUGCACUGAGCUGUGUGAGUGCUUCUGCCCAGGCAGGCCACUUGGCAUUGACCGGUAUAGAUGGUGAGCCUGGAGGAAGAUGUGUGGGACCCGCAGGCCGAGGGCCAGUGUCUCUCAGCCAGGUGCUCAGCCCCCAGUGGGCUGAAACUCUGACCCUUCCUGGCACCCUGCUCUCCUGCACUGUGCUGUGAUGGUGAGACUUCUGUUGGGCUUGCUUUUCCUGGGCCAGUGUCCAUCAGCCAGGUGCUCAGCCAUCGGUGCGCUGAAGCUCCAGCCCUUCCUGGUGCCCUGAUCUCCUGCACUGAGCUGUGAUGAUGAGCUCUUUCACCUAGGAGGGCCCCUUGGCAUUGACUGGCAUAGAUGGUGACCCUGAAGAAAGACUUCAGUUGGGCCUGAAGGCCCCGGGCCAGUGUCCAUCAUCCAGGUGCUCAGCUCCCAGUGCACUGAAGCUCAGACCCUUCCUGGUUCCCUGGUCUCUUGCACUGAGCUCUGAUGGUGAGACUUGAGGAAGACUUCCACUGGGCCUGCUUUUCCUGAGCCAGUGCCCAUCACCCAGGUGCUCAGUCCCUGGUGCACUGAAGCUCCAGCCCUUCCUGGCGCCCUGGUCUCCUGAACUGAGCUGUGUGAGCUCUUCUGCCAAGCGGUUCCCCUGGCAUUGACCAACAUAGAUGGUGAGCCUGGAGGAAGACUUGCGUUGGGCCCAAAGGCCCUAGACCAGUGUCUGUCAGCCAGGUUCCCAACCCCCGAUGCGCUGAAGCUCAAGCCUUUCCUGGCACCCUGGUCUCCUGCACUGAGCUGUGUGAGCUCUUCUGCCCAGGCGGGCCCCCUGGAAUUGAUGGGUAUAGAUGGUGACCCCGGAGGAAAAUUUGUGUUGGGCCCACUAUCCCUGGGCCAAUGUCAGUCAGCUAGGCACCCAGCCCCCAGUGCGCUGAAGCUCAGGACCUUCCUAGUGCCCUCGGCUCCUGCACUGAGCUCUGAUGGUAAGCCUGGAGGAAGACUUGUGUUGGGCCCACAGGCCCCAGGCCAAUGUCUGUCAGCCAGGUGCUCAGCCUCUGGUGCGCUGAAACUCUGACCCUUCCUGGCACACUGGUCUCCUGCACUGAGCUGGGAUUUUCCACCUAGGAGGUCCACCUGGCAUUGACUGACAUAGAUGGUGAGACUUCUGUCGGCCUCGCUUUUCCUGGGCCAGUGUCCAUCAGCCAGGUGCUCAGCCCCAGUGCACUGAAGCUCCAGCCCUUCCUGGCGCCCUGGACUGAGCUGUGUGAGCUCUUCUGCCAAGGGGGUCCUCCUGGCAUUGACCAACAUAGGUGGUGAGCCUGGAGGAAGACUUGCAUUGGGCCCAAUGGCCCUGGACCAGUGUCUGUCAGCCAGGUUCCCAGCCCCCGAUGCGCUGAAGCUCAAGCCUUUCCUGGCACCCUGGUCUCCUGCACUGAGCUGUGUGAGCUCUUCGGCCCAAGUGGUCCCCCCGGCCUUAAGCGGCAUAGAUGGUGAGCCUGGAGGAAGACUCGUGUUGGGCCCACAGGCCCCAGGCCAGUGUACGUCAGCCAGGUGCUCAGCCCAUGGUGUGCUGAAGCUCUGACCCUUCCUGACUCCGUGGUCUCCUGCACUGAGCUGUGAUGACCAUAUCCAGUGAGCUCUUCCAAACAGGUGGGCUCCCUAGCAUUGACCGACAGAGUGAGCUCUGCCACCCAGGACAUCCCCCUGGCAUUGACUGGCAUAGAUGCUGACCCUGGAGGAAGACUUGUGUCGGGCCCCCAGGCCCCAGGCCAGUGUCCAUCAGCCAGGUGCUCAGCUCCCAGUGCGCUGAAGCUCAGACCCUUCCUGGCACCCUGGUGUCCAGCACUGAGCUGUGUGAGCUUUUCCACCCAGGUGGGCCCCCUGGCAUUGACCGACAUAGAUGAUGAGACUGGAGGAAGACUUCCAUUGGGCCCACUUUUCCUGGGCCAGUGUCCAUCAGCCAGGUGCUCAGCCCCUGGUGUACUGAAGCUCCAGCCUUUCCUGGUGCCCCAGUCUUCUGCACUAAGCUGUGUGAGCUCUUCCACCCAGGAGGGCCCCUUGGCAUUGACUGGCAUAGAUGGUGAGACGGGAGGAAGACUUGUGUUGGGCCUGCUGUUCCUGGGCCAGUGGCCAUCAGCCUGUUGCCCAGCCCCUGAGGCGCUGAAGCUCAGGCCCUUCCUCACACCCUGGUCUCCUGCACUAGCUGUGUGAGCUCUUCUGCCCAGGUGGGGCCCAUGGCCUUACACGACAUAGGAGCACGCAUUUCUUGAAGUCCUGCAAAGGUGAUGGUGGUCCAGACAGGAGAGGGUUCCUUCAGCCCAACAUAGCGCAGCUCCCAGCUGAAACUCGGAAGGCUGGUCAGGCCUCGAGGACUGCCCAGGCCACAUGAGGGUUUGGUGGCCGGGAGGGCCAAUGAUGCUCUGCGUCUGUGUUGGAUCAGUGUUCUUCAUGGAUUCCAUCACAUGGUGAGCCUUGAGGAAGACUUGUAUUGGGCCCCCACAGGCCCCAGGCCAGUGUCCGUCAGCCUGGUGCUCACCCCCAGUGUGCUGAAGCUCAGACCCUCCGUGGCACCCUGGUCUCCUGCACUGAGCUGUGUGAACUUUUCCUCCCAGAUGGGCCCCCUGGCAUUGACUGGCAUAGAUGGUGAGACCGGAGGAAGACUUGCAUUGGGCCUGUUGUUCCUGGGCCAGUGGCCAUCAGCCUGUUGCCCAGCCCCUGAUGCGCUGAAGCUCGGGCCCUUCCUCGCGCCCUGGUCUCCUGCACUGAGCUGUGUGAGCUCUUCUGCCCAGGUGAGGCCCAUGGCCUUAAGCGGCAUAGAUGGUGAGCCUGGAGGAAGACUUGUAUUGGGACCCUACAGGCCCCAGGCCAGUGUCUGUCAGCCUGGUGCUCAUCCCCCAGUGCGCUGAAGCUCAGACCCUCCCUGGCACCCUGGUCUCCUGCACUGAGCUGUGAUGGUGAGUCUGGAGGAAGACUUGUGUUGGACCCCCACAGGCCCCAGGCCAGUGUCCAUCAGCCUGGUGCUAAUCCCCCAGUGCUCUGGAGUUUGGACCCUCCCUGGCACCCUGGUCUCCUGCACUGAGCUUGAGCUCUUCCACCCGGGCGGGCCCCCGGCAUUGACUGGCAUAGGUGGUGAGCCCGGAGGAGGACUUGCGUUCGGCCCGCUGGUCCCAGUGUGUCCGGAAUUGGUGGGUUCUUGGUCUCACUGACUUCAAGAAUGAAGCUGCGGACCCUCGCUAUGAUGAUAUGGAAGAAAAGCACUCUUUGGCCUGUUGUGACUGGGACAGUUGACAGCACCCAGGUGUCCUUUAAUGAAAAUGCUCUUGACACCAAUGCAUCCUAGCAUCACAGCUUCAGGAAGCCUUCUCAAGUGUGCAUGGGGAGUACUAUGUCUUUCAUCAAUAAUGAAAUCUUCUGAUUUGUAAGACAUGCUGCCAAGAGAUGUGCCAUUCUAUUAUAAAAGAUCAGUAGCUUCCUUUACCGACGUGUAUAUUCUAUCUAGAACAUUGAGCUAUGGAAGACUCCCACCUAAGGGAAUUAGUUUUACACCUUCAGAUAAAGACUGCUGAGAAGAGCACCCUCUGGUGUUGUCACAGAGGCAAGUGCUACCGCACAGGCAUGCUGCAGUGAAUUUAACUGAUCCUCUGUCCCUGCAACCGUUGUUUAAGGAUGCUAUUCUGAAAAGACUGUGGAGGAAGAAAACCCUUUACCCUGUUGUUCAGGGAGAAACUGACACCACUCAACUGCCUGGCACUGAAAAUGUGGCAUCCAGUCCACUUUACCAUCAGUGUUUAAGGAAACCAUCUCUGAUAAGGAUGACUGAGGAAGAGUACUCUUUGGCUUGUUGACACCAGCACAGCUGACACACCCAGAUAUCUGUUUGGUCUCCUGUGAACUUUCAACCAGGAUUUAAGGAUGCCACUCUGGUUAAAAGCUGAAACAACUUCAAGGAAACUUCAGGGAAAAGAGAAGGCCUGGAAUCUGAUCCUCCACUUCAGAGAACAGGGAGAAAAAAGUGCAUGUGAAAUACUACUACUUAUCCAUCUCCUGGCUCUGAGCAGUACAUGUCAGGAACAAGAGGGAAUUGUAGCUGGAAGACAGUAGAAGAGCCAUAGGACAAGUCUCUAAGAGAAGGAAGAAAAGGCGCAAUGAAAGAAAACAAGUUUAAGAUAGUAGAAAAGCAUUCAAAGACGGCAACCUGAGGUGGUGGAGUCUAUGGCCCUUCUCCUUGAAUCUGAGUGAAAUUAGUGAGUCUUUCAAUCCAAAGACUACAGUCAUACCUCAACUAUCUACAGAGGACUGGUUCCAGGACUCCCAUGGAUCCCAAAAUCCAAGGAUGCUUCGAAUCCCUUAUAUAAAAUGGCAUGGUAUUUGCAUAUAACCUACAUGCAUCUUCAAAUAUGUUAAACCAUCUCUAGAUUACUUAUAAUACCAAAUACAAUGUAAUGCUAUGUAAACAGUUGUUACAAUGUAUUGUCAAAGACAAGCUCUCCUUGCCAAUCCCUGACCAAAUGAGAGAUUCAUGAGCAAAAUAAAUAGUUGCUGAUAUUUAAGGCACUAAGUUUGGGGCAAUGUAUUACACAGCAAUAAAUAACUGGAACAGCAUAGUAAAUUCUAGUUAAAAAUACUAAACUACUAAGUUUUAGUUAACAUACAUGCUCAAGUUAAGGGUGUGGUAUACUAACAACUGCAACUUACUUUGAAAAGCAUAAAAAAAGACACUAGAAGAAGACAGGAUGGAUAGAUGGACAAGAUAGAAGACAAUAACAAAUAGAACAAAAUGUUGUGAAAUUAUAUUCUACAAUUAUUUUAAAGUCUGUGUGGUUUGAAAAAUUGUACGAUAAAAUGAAGAGUGAAAUAAAGACAUUUCCAUACAAA